rnacentral:rRNA from 1 species
CGCGUGUACUGGUCCGGCCGGGCCUUUCCCUCUGUGGAACCCCAUGCCCUUCGCUGGGUGUGGCGGGGAAACAGGACUUUUACUGUGAAAAAAUUAGAGUGCUCCAGGCAGGCCUAUGCUCGAAUACAUUAGCAUGGAAUAAUAGAAUAGGACGUGUGGUUCUAUUUUGUUGGUUUCUAGGACUGAAGUAAUGAUUGAUAGGGACAGUUGGGGGUGCUAGUAUUCCGCGGCCAGAGGUGAAAUUCUUGGAUUCGCGGAAGACUAACUACUGCGAAAGCAUUCACCAAGGAUGUCUUCUUUAAUCAAGAACGAAAGUUGGGGGAUCGAAGACGAUCAGAUACCGUCGUAGUCUCAACCAUAAACUAUACCGACUAAGGAUCAGUGAACGUUGAUUUACGACUUCAUUGGCACUUUGUGAGAAAUCAAAGUCUUUGGGUUCCGGGGGGAGUAUGGUCGCAAGGCUGAAACUUAAAGAAAUUGACGGAAGGGCACCACCAGGGGUGGAGCCUGCGGCUUAAUUUGACUCAACACGGGGAAACUCACCAGGUCCAGACACAAUGAGGAUUGACAGAUUGAGAGCUCUUUCUUGAUUUUGUGGGUGGUGGUGCAUGGCCGUUCUUAGUUGGUGGAGUGAUUUGUCUGCUUAAUUGCGAUAACGAACGAGACCUUAACCUGCUAAAUAGCCCGUAUUGCUUUGGCAGUACGCUGGCUUCUUAGAGGGACUAUCGG